rnacentral:rRNA from 1 species
AACGAACGCUGGCGGCAGGCUUAACACAUGCAAGUCGAGCGCCCCGCAAGGGGAGCAGCAGACGGGUGAGUAACGCGUGGGAAUCUACCCAUCUCUACGGAAUAACGCAUGGAAACGUGUGCUAAUACCGUAUACGUCCUUCGGGAGAAAGAUUUAUCGGAGAUGGAUGAGCCCGCGUUGGAUUAGCUAGUUGGUGGGGUAAAGGCCUACCAAGGCGACGAUCCAUAGCUGGUCUGAGAGGAUGAUCAGCCACACUGGGACUGAGACACGGCCCAGACGCCUACGGGAGGCAGCAGUGGGGAAUAUUGGACAAUGGGCGCAAGCCUGAUCCAGCCAUGCCGCGUGAGUGAUGAAGGCCCUAGGGUUGUAAAGCUCUUUCACCGGUGAAGAUAAUGACGGUAACCGGAGAAGAAGCCCCGGCUAACUUCGUGCCAGCAGCCGCCGUAACAC